rnacentral:lncRNA from 1 species
AUGUAUUACACAUAUAUAUACCAUAUCUCCUUUAAUGAUUCACUUAUGGAUGGACACUUGGGUUGCCUCCAUAUCUUGGCUAUUAUAAAUACUACUGCAAUAAACAUAGGGGAAUUAUAUAUAUAUAUAUAUAUAUAUAUAUAUAUAUAUAUAUAUAUAUUUAUUUGGGGGGUAAAUACUUGGUUGUGGAAUUACUUAAGGAGCGGGGGUAUUUUUUUAUAAAUCCCCCAUGAAAGAUACUUUUUAUUGCCAUGAAUGUUUAUUUUUUAACUGUAUUCAAAAAGGCUUUCUUUAAAAAAAAAUUGAAUCUUUAUUUAUUACUUAAUAUGUGGUUAAAUUUUCUGAAUGCCUCAUAGCACAUGAAAAUAAAGUAUAAGGGAUCCCUGGGUGGCGCAGUGGUUUAGCGCCUGCCUUUGGCCCAGGGCGCGAUCCUGGAGACCCGGGAUGGAAUCCCACGUCGGGCUCCCGGUGCAUGGAUCCUGUUCUCCCUCUGCCUGUGUCUCUGCCUCUCUCUCUCUCUCUCUUUCUCUCUCUCUCUCUCUCUCCGUGACUAUCAUAAAAAUUUAAAAAAAGAACGUAUAUAAAUUUAAAAAAAAAGAAAAUAAAGUAUAUUUUCAUUAUUGUGGUUUUAGGGUUUCACAUGUAUUUAAUAAUUAAGUUUUUCAAAAAGAAAAAAAUAAUUAAGUUUUUCAGGUGUUCUCUAAAUUUAUUACUUUCUGUCUACUCGAUCAUUCUAGGUAUGACAAGUGUGUGAAUUUUGGCUAUCUCUACCUCUUACAAUGUUUUCUAUUCAUGUUAAGUGCUUUCUUUUGAGAUUAUUUUGAAAUGUUAAGCUAUUGUUUCCAUGCUGUAUGUCUUCAUUUUCUGAUAUAUCUUCUGUAACCUUAUAUGGCUCUUUUUUGUUUUUUUAAAUAUUAAUUUGAUGAGGGUUCUCCUGUAUUUUCUUGAAGGAAGUUUUGGGCCUGUUGAUAGACAGUCCUACAGUGGAGUAUGUGCUAUCUUGACUUUUGGCUUCAGAACUUGAAAACUCUCUUCAGUGUGUUUAUCAGAAAAGACUCAAAAUAUAGAAUCAGUUCAUAACUAUUGUCCCUUAUGUUGAAGUCUGGUCAGGAGCAUAGUUUCAAGAUGGAACCUAAAUCCUUCAGACCCUUCUGCAUUGGCUUUCUGAAACUCCUCUAUCAUGCUAUACACUUCUGUGUAGUGCAAUUUGGCUUCUGUGGCAAUAUUGGACCAGGAAGGUGAAACUCUGGAAAGAAACAUUUGCUAGAUGAUUUUGAGAUUUGUUAAGCCCAGUAGUCACAUUCUUCCUAGUAAUCUUAUAUUCUCAGUUUCCCACAUUUACCCACAGCUCAGAACCAGUGACAAAUUUUCUUAAUUUCUUUAUCCUCACAUAUGUAUGCCUAUAUUCCCUCAAUGAUCAGUGCUCUCGUUUUAAGGGUGUGUAGUUGGUGGCAAGUCUGUAAUUGCUGUAGAGUCCAUUUACAUUUAUUAAUAAAUUAUUUAUAGUCAUCUAGAAUUUUUUUUUCCUCUGGCUUCAUAGGAAAGACAUAUUCUCCGAGAUAAUAACCAUGAUAAGAGGCCUAUGUUAGAUUUACAGCUACUCUGUUGUACUAUUUCUUUAGUGUUAAUAGCAAAGUACCUAUUCCAAAAUAGAAUAAAAACACUGUAAAUGAUCAUGGCUUAACUCAAGCUUUUUAUUCUUUGAAAAGUGUAUAAAUCUAAAUCAGUGUGGUUGUAUGUGGUAAAGAUAUCAAAAACUGGAUUAUACUGAUAAUUUCUUUUUGUCUACAGCAUUUUAAUGAAUGUAAACACACAUAACUAAAUCUAUACAUCCUUUAAAAUAGGGAAGACACAUAUUUUAUGUGUAAUAAAUUCACAGUAUGGAAUGACUGACUGACAACCCUAAACCCUGUUUAUCUAUUAUUGAAUAGUCUGACAGCAGUUUGAAGCCAAAGUGUGACAAAAAUUAAUUUCUGCCCAAGUUAGAGAAAUUCCUAUGUCCAAAUUUAAAAAGAAUGAUGAUAUAUGUAG